rnacentral:rRNA from 1 species
AUUUUCUGCCACCGAAUACAUUAGCAUGGGAUAAUGGAAUAGGACCCUGUCCUCCUAUUUUCAGUUGGUUUUGGCAGCGCGAGGACUAGGGUAAUGAUUAAUAGGGAUAGUUGGGGGCAUUAAUAUUUAAUUGUCAGAGGUGAAAUUCUUGGAUUUAUGAAAGAUUAACUUCUGCGAAAGCAUCUGCCAAGGAUGUUUUCAUUAAUCAAGAACGAAAGUUAGGGGAUCGAAGACGAUCAGAUACCGUCGUAGUCUUAACCAUAAACGAUGCCGACCAGCGAUUAGGAGACGUUGAAUACAAAACACCACCAUCGGCGCGGUCGUCCUUGGCGYKYKYGUGYWCRCRCRAGGGCGAGGGAGGSUUASUCCGAUGGGWGGSGYGAAUGACUGCCUCC